ensembl:lncRNA
CCUUGCAGGUGUCCUUGAGGCCCUCGGGGUACCCGGCGCACAGCAUGUCGUCCUGGAUGCGCCGCGGCGGCAGCCCCCGGCCCAUGUCGAUGCCGUAGAGGCGCCGGCAGGUGCUCAGCGCCAUCAGCGGCACCUCCAGCUUCUGCAGCCGCCGCGGCGACGGCAGGUCCUCUGGGGGGGGCGGGGCGGGGGGCGGGGUUACCCUGCGGCCCCCGGGGCACCCCCGGGACGCCCCUCAGACACCCCUGGGGCACCCCCGGGGCACCCUGGGGACACGCCCAGACACCCCCGGGACUCCCCCGAGACACCCCUGGGACACCACCGUGACAUCCUGAGACACCCCCGGGACACCCCCAGGGCACCCCCGGGACACCCCUGAGACACCCCCAGGGCACCCCCGGGACACCCCCGGGACACCCCCAGGGCACCCCUGGGACACCCUGGGGACACCCCCAGACACCCCCAGGACUCCCCCGAGACACCCCUGGGACACCCCCGGGACUCCCCUGAGACACCCCUGGGACACCCCCAGGACACCCCCAGGGCACCCCCGGGACACCCCCGGGGCACCCCUGGGACACCCUUGGGACUCCCCCGGGACACCCCCAGGACUCCCCCAGGGCACCCCCGGGACACCCUUGGGACACCCCCGGGCCUCCUGCCCCCCCCGGGUCCCUUCCCAUCCCCUCGACCCCGACUGGGCCCCCACCGGGUCCCCACGUCCCCCAUUGGUCCCCUUGGCUGUGGUUGCGUCCCAUUGGGUCCCAUUGGCCAUGCUCGCGUCCCCAUUGGUCCCUUUGGCCGUGGGCGCGUCCCCAUUGGGUCCCCACGUCCCCCAUUGGUCCCCUUGGCCGCGGUGGCACCCCAUUGGGUCCCUGCCCCCCCCUUGGCCGUGAUCAUGUCCCCAUUGGUCCCUUUGGUCAGGGUCGUGCUCCUAUUGGGUCCCGUUGGCCAUGGUCAUGCCCCCACGGCCCCCAUUGGUGCUCUUGGCCGUAGCUGCGUUCCCAUUGGGUCCCCGCACCCCCCCCUUGGCCAUGGUCCCGUCCCAUUGGUCCCCUUGGCUGCGGCCACAUCCCAUUGGGUCCCCCCGUCCCCCAUUGGUCCCCUUGGCCAUGGUCGUGUCCCAUUGGUCCCCUUGGCUACGGCCACAUCCCAUUGGGUCCCCACAUCCCCCAUUGGGUCCCCUUGGCCAUGCUUGUGUCCCAUUGGUCCCCUUGGCUACAGCCACGUCCCAUUGGGUUCCUGUGCCCCCAUUGGUCCCCUUGGCCAUGGUCGUGUCCCAUUGGGUCCCGUUGGCCAUGGUCGUGUCCCAUUGGUCCCCUUGGCUAUGGCCACAUCCCAUUGGCUCCCCACAUCCCCCAUUGGGUCCCCUUGGCCAUGGUCGUGUCCCAUUGGUCCCCUUGGCUGCGGCCACCUCCCAUUGGGUCCCCACGUCCCCCACUGGUCCCCUCGGCCAUGGUCGUGCUCCUAUUGGGUCCCCUUGGCUGUGGUCCUGUCCCCAUUGGGUCCCCAUGUCCCCCGUUGGUCCCCUUGGCCAUGGUCGUGUCCCAUUGGGUCCCCUUGGCUACGGCCACCUCCCAUUGGCUCCCCACGUCCCCCACUGGUCCCCUUGGCCAUGGUCCUGUCCCCAUUGGCUCCCCGCCCCCCAUUGGUCCCCUUGGCCGUGGUCAAUGUCCCAUUGGGUCCCCUUGGCUACGGCCACCUCCCAUUGGGUCCCCACGUCCCCCAUUGGUCCCCUCGGCCGUGGUCAAUGUCCCAUUGGGUCCCCUUGGCCACGGCCGCGUCCCAUUGGCUCCCCGCC